rnacentral:rRNA from 1 species
AACGAACGCUGGCGGCAGGCUUAACACAUGCAAGUCGAACGCCCCGCAAGGGGAGUGGCAGACGGGUGAGUAACGCGUGGGAACAUACCCUUUUCUACGGAAUAGCUCUGGGAAACUGGAAUUAAUACCGUAUACGCCCUACGGGGGAAAGAUUUAUCGGGGAAGGAUUGGCCCGCGUUGGAUUCGCUAGUUGGUGGGGUAAAGGCCUACCAAGGCGACGAUCCAUAGCUGGUCUGAGAGGAUGAUCAGCCACAUUGGGACUGAGACGCGGCGCAAACUCCUACGGGAGGCAGCAGUGGGGAAUAUUGGACAAUGGGCGCAAGCCUGAUCCAGCCAUGCCGCGUGAGUGAUGAAGGCCUUAGGGUUGUAAAGCUCUUUCACCGAUGAAGAUAAUGACGGUAGUCGGAGAAGAAGCCCCGGCUAACUUCGUG